GAUGAACGCUAGCGGCAGGCCUAACACAUGCAAGUCGAGGGGGAGGUUACUUUCGGGUAACUGAGACCGGCGUACGGGUGCGUAACGCGUAUACAAUCUGCCUUUUACUGGGGGAUAGCCCGAAGAAAUUUGGAUUAAUACCCCAUAGUAUAGUAAUACGGCAUCGUGAUGCUAUUAAAGCUUAGGUGGUGAAAGAUGAGUAUGCGUUCUAUUAGCUAGUUGGAGAGGUAACGGCUCCCCAAGGCGAUGAUAGAUAGGGGUUCUGAGAGGGAUGUCCCCCACACUGGUACCGAGAUACGGACCAGACUCCUACGGGAGGCAGCAGUGAGGAAUAUUGGACAAUGGUCGGAAGACUGAUCCAGCCAUGCCGCGUGCAGGAUGAAGGUCUUAUGGAUUGUAAACUGCUUUUGUAAGGGAAGAAUAAGGGCUACGCGUAGUUUGAUGACGGUACCUUACGAAUAAGCAUCGGCUAACUCCGUG
rnacentral:rRNA from 1 species